rnacentral:rRNA from 1 species
UACGUAGGGUCCGAGCGUUGUCCGGAAUUACUGGGCGUAAAGAGCUCGUAGGUGGUUUGUCGCGUUGUUCGUGAAAACUCACAGCUCAACUGUGGGCGUGCGGGCGAUACGGGCAGACUGGAGUACUGCAGGGGAGACUGGAAUUCCUGGUGUAGCGGUGGAAUGCGCAGAUAUCAGGAGGAACACCGGUGGCGAAGGCGGGUCUCUGGGCAGUAACUGACGCUGAGACACGAAGGCUAGGGGAGCAAACGGG